UCAUUGAGCCAGGGCCAGCCUUUAGGCUUAGGCUUUUUCAUUCUAAGAGGAGCAACAGAAUCCAGGAUGGAAGAGCAAGUGGUAUUGAAUAAAGAAAUGAGGUCGUCAGUGCUGAGAUGGACGGGAGACGCCUCGAUGGUGCAGAUGGCCUAAUUUCAUUAUUC